CCAGUCUGGGAGCCUAGCAUAGACCUCCCUGGAGGGCAUCAGAGCUGGAGCACAGGGACUGAAGUGGACCCAUGAAGGAAGCUGAGGGGGACAAGGCCCCAGAAGGGGGGCAGGUGUGACAGGGAGACUCAGGCAGGCUCGCCGCUCGUCCUCUGGAGGCUGAAGUGGAUAGUUGAGGUUGUCCCAGCCCCAGAAGCAGCCUGUCAGCUCCCUGCUGGAGGUGAGCAAACACCACCUAGUGGGCGUUUGCGGCAUAUGCUGAGUCAAAAGAAUCCCAGGCGGGAUUCCAAAGAUGGGAUGACAUUCCAGGCUGAUAGAAUGGCAAGGACAAAGGUGCACUGGCUACAAUGGGGGUGACAACUUGUCUAGCUUUCCUGGGAGGUCUCCAUCCCCAGGGAAGGAAGAAAGGGGAAAUGAAUUAGGGGAGGCCCAGUAGGGCCAGAUCACAGGAGGCCAUUUUGGUGCUGAGUUACUGGCUGGUGGGGCGCCAAAGAUUAUUAGCUGGUGAAUGAGCAGGCAGACCCCUGGGCCAGGUCAGGUGGGUGUCUAAGAUGGAGCCAUUCAGACCAUAUUAUCAAUAAUGCCACUUAUUGAGUACUUGUUUCAUUGCAGGCACUGUUCUAAGCACUGUAAACACAUAUUUUAUUCUCCCCUACAGAGUUAGAUGGGCCAGGAACAAACUCUAGUUCCAUCAUGCCUAACCACUGUUUCUCUGGGUUUCUCAUGCCCUUACCCUUUAAAUAGGUUGAUCACAUCUCCUACCUCCUAAGGUGGUGUGUGUGUGUGUGCAGUGGGGGUACAGAGCUGGAGCAGGUGGGGAAUGACAUAGAGGUGGAGAGGCAGGCAUCCCAGGUCUGUGGGGUGAUGAGGCUGGGGCCAAUCAUUUUCUUUAAAGAAGAGAGAUUAACUUACGGUUGAUCCAUCCUGGAGGGAAGAGUCUUGGUGAGAUGGAGCCAGAAGAUGGGAUCAUUACUCAGAUGGGUUCUGGAGAAGGUGGGGAAUGGGGAUCCCUGCUCAGGUGGGCAAGGCAGGAACAGAUGUGAGCAGGCGGGGAUUUGGUUUUCUCUGAAAGCAGGGGGUGAACAUCACUGAAGGACAGGUGGGAGGCAUGUGGGGUCCAGAGGCCUGAGGAGAUUUAAAGGAUCUGGAGUGGGAGGGGCCAGAGGGUUGACCAGCUGCCCAAAAAGGGUAACUUUACAGGUUUACCACACCUUGUCUCCAAGUCCCACUCCGUCAGCAUUGCCCCCUGAAUUCCCCCUCCUGAUCUGUAGAUCCAGCUGCCUGCUACAGGGACCACAAACCCUUCCCCUUGUCCUGUUCCUUCUUGGUGCCUUCCAUAAUUCCUCCUCCACAUCUACACGUCAGCACGGCUCCUUCCUGACCUUCACCUAUCUGCCUCCAGCUCAAAGUGUUCCUGAACCAAGCAAGACGCAGCCCCUCCUGUCCCUUCCCUAGGACACACCUGGGGAGCCUCUCUCAGAGAGCUUCUCAAUUAGCAUUCAGGGAGGAGGGUUGAAAGGCAUUCUGGAGGAGGCAGAGCUGCUUAGGUGAUUCCUGUAAUACCCCCUUCCAGCAGGCUGUUGGCCCCAGGAUACACAGAAACCCACUACAGCCCAGAUGGGCAGCCAGUGGUGUUGGUCCCCAGCCACACGGUGAGAUACCUCCAUGGGCUCUGAGGACAGGGAUCACUGCCACUACUGUGGGAAUGUGAGGGGCUUCCCUAGCUCCUGGGUAGUUCUUAGCACCUGCUCUGGGAUGAGUGGCCUUAUCGUGCUCAGCAGCAAUACCAGCUACUAUCUGCACUCCCAGCUACCUGUGGACUCCAAGGACUUCUCAACCCACAUGAUCUUCCUGAUGGAACAGCUACUAACCUGGAAAGGGGCCUGUGGCCACAGGGACCCUGGGAACAAAGGGGGCAUGGCCAGCCUUCCUCAUGCUCCACAGAGCAGGGGCAGGCGAGAGCCCCGCAGGAGCCAGAGGUAUCUGGAGCUGUACCUAGUGGCUGACCACACCCUGGUGAGGGGAGACCCAAGGCGGGCAGAGGGUCCAAGAUGGGCUAGCUCAGCCCCUCACGCCGCAGCGUUUCUGUCCUCCCAGUUCUUGACCCAGCACCGGAACCUGAACCGCACCAAACACCGUCUCCUGGAGGUCGCCAACUAUGUCGACCAGAUUCUCAGGACCCUGGACAUUCAGGUGGUAUUGAGUGGCCUGGAAGUGUGGACCGAGCGGGAUCGUUGCAGCAUCACACCUGACGCGAACGCCACGCUCUGGGCCUUCCUACAUUGGCGCCGGGGGCUGUGGGCGCAGCGGCCACACGACUCGGCGCAGCUGCUCACGGGCCAAGCCUUCUGGGGCGCCACCGUGGGCCUUGCGCCGGUCGAGGGCAUGUGCCGCGCCGAGGGUUCUGGAGGUGUGAGCACGGACCACUCAGAGCUCGCCAUUGGCGCUGCAGCUACCGUCGCCCACGAGAUAGGCCACAGCCUCGGCCUCAGCCACGACCCCGACGGCUGCUGCGUGGAGGCCGCGGCCGAGCAGGGCGGCUGCGUGAUGGCGGCGGCCACUGGGCACCCGUUCCCACGCGUGUUCAGCGCCUGCAGCCGCCGCCAGCUGCGCGCCUUCUUCCGGAAGGGGGGUGGCGCGUGUCUCUCCGACGCUCCGGAGCCCGGGCUGCUGGCGCCGCCAGCGCGCUGCGGGAACGGCUUCGUGGAGGCGGGCGAGGAGUGCGACUGUGGCCCGGGCCAGGAUUGCCGGGACCUCUGCUGCUUCGCUCAAAAUUGCUCCCUGCGCGCGGGGGCCCAGUGCGCUCACGGAGGCUGCUGCGCGCGCUGCCUGCUGAAGCCAGCGGGUGCGCUGUGCCGCCAGGCCACGGGCGAAUGUGACCUUCCUGAGUUCUGCACGGGCUCCUCCCCCACCUGUCCCCCGGACCUUUAUCUACUGGAUGGCUCACCCUGUGCCAAGGGCCGCGGCUACUGCUGGGAUGGCGCGUGUCCCACGCUUGAGCAGCAGUGCCGGCAGCUCUGGGGGCCUGGCUCCCGCCCAGCCCCAGAAGCCUGUUUCAAGGUGGUGAACUCCGUGGGAGACGCUCAUGGGAACUGUGGCCAGGACAGGGAGGGCAACUUCUUGCCUUGUGCACAGAGGGAUGCUCAGUGUGGGAAGCUGCAGUGCCAGGGUGGGGAGCUGAGCCCACUUGCACCACACACAGUGCCGGUGGAUUCCACCGUUCAUCUAGAUGGCAGUGAGGUGACCUGCCGGGGAGUUUUUGCUCUUCCCGGUGCCCAGAUGGACCUGCUUAACUUGGGUCUGGUAGAGCCAGGUACCCAGUGUGGACCUAGCAUGGUGUGCCAGGACAAGCGGUGCCAGAACACUACCUUCCAGGAGCUGCAGCGCUGCCUGACAGCCUGCCACAGCCAUGGGGUUUGUAAUAGCAACCAUAACUGCCACUGCGCUCCAGGUUGGGCUCCACCCUUCUGUGACAAGCCAGGCUUUGGUGGCAGUGUGGACAGCAGCCCUACGCAGCCUGACAGCCAUGACACCUUCCUGCUGGCCAUGCUCCUUAGCUCCCUGCUGCCUCUGCUCCCUGGGGUUAGCCUGGCCUGGUGCUACUACCGGCUUCCAGGAGUACAUCUCUGGCAAUGCCCCUGGGGCUGCAGGCGGCAGCCCACAGGCAAUGGGUGGCUGCGUCGUUUUGACUUUGUGCUGUUUUCACACCAGUUUAGAAUGCAGUCCAUGUUCCCCUGUGCCCUGGAGGCCUCUCCUGCUUCUGUUUUCAUGCCUCUGCCCAAAUCAUCUUUGUCAGCCUUUGUCACCCCCUUCGAGUUCCCAAAUGCCAGGCCCAGCACAUCUUUUCACUCCAGGAGCCUACACCUAACCUAGUUUUGUGACCUAGGAGGAGGGUCACACGAUACUAAAGCAUGGUUGUCAUAGAGCUUACCCUGCACUAGGGCCCUGCUCAGGGCAGGCACUGCAGGGCCAUUUCUGACACAGCCCAGCUUUGGGGUACUCUGGGCAAGCAGAAAGAGAGGACAGGGUCUCUUGGGGGCAGAGGGCAUCCCAGACAGGGGCAGGGCACCAACCAGGCCCCCAGUGCCAACUGAGGGGGCCUUGACACAUGAGUAGUGAUGAGGUCUGUGGGCAGAAGAGCAAGGUGGUUGAAGCUUGGUGCAUCAGCCUGGGGAAGGGGUCUGCAUCUCACUUCCCAGGGUGCACUCUUGAGGGCAGUGAAGAUUGUUGGCAAAUGUCCUGGGAGAUGGGGUGGGGAUGGCUGAAUUUGACUUGGAGUUGUCAAGGGUGUCAGGAUACCUGACGGCUGGGAGCACAGGCACAGCUUCCAUAGAAGGGGGAACAUUCAUCUCUCUUUGGGACCUGAGUGAUGCCAACAUCUGGAGAUUGCCAGGGACCACUUCCUGGGCAGUGUUCACCCCACAGGGUUGGGCCCCACAGCCACCAGAGAGCCCUGGCCCCUGG